AAGAUUUCAAGUUAAUAUUAGAAACUAUUAAUCUUCAAAAUUAAUCAUAAUAUAUGUAUUAAAUCUUA
rnacentral:tRNA from 1 species